UACGAAGGGGGCUAGCGUUGCUCGGAAUCACUGGGCGUAAAGGGUGCGUAGGCGGGUCUUUAAGUCAGGGGUGAAAUCCUGGAGCUCAACUCCAGAACUGCCUUUGAUACUGAAGAUCUUGAGUUCGGGAGAGGUGAGUGGAAUUCCCAGUGUAGCGGUGAAAUGCGUAGAUAUUGGGAGGAACACCAGUGGCGAAGGCGGCUCACUGGACCGGUUCUGACGCUGAGGCGCGAAAGCGUGGGGAGCAAACGGG
rnacentral:rRNA from 1 species